AAUCAGGAGUUUAAGGAACAGUCCUACCUGGAGAUAAGCAGGCUGCAAAGUUUUCGUCUCUAGUCUAUAAAACUAUUUUCAGUGAUUUGUUUGACACAAAGGCAGCGAUGGCGCAGCUCGCCCUCUCGCCUAGACGGGUCACAAGGGUCCAGGAGUCUGACAGAGACUUUUCAUCCAAUCACAUUUCCCCUGUCUCUUCUACUCGCAAGCUCAACAACUGCUACCAGAAUAAUCCAUUGAGCACCUGCUAGCUUGAACA